AACGAACGCUGGCGGCAGGCUUAACACAUGCAAGUCGGACGAAUUAUAUAGCUUCGGUUAUAUGGUUAGUGGCGCACGGGUGAGUAACGCGUAGGGAUCUGCCUGAUAGUGGGGGAUAGCUCUGGGAAACUGGAAUUAAUACCGCAUGAGCCCUGAGGGGGAAAGGCCGCAAGGCCGCUAUGAGAGGAACCUGCGUCUGAUUAGCUAGUUGGAGGGGUAACGGCCCACCAAGGCGACGAUCAGUAGCUGGUCUGAGAGGAUGAUCAGCCACACUGGGACUGAGACACGGCCCAGACUCCUACGGGAGGCAGCAGUGGGGAAUAUUGGACAAUGGGGGAAACCCUGAUCCAGCCAUGCCGCGUGAGUGAAGAAGGCCUGGUGUAAGCUCUUUGUCGGGUAGAGUGAUGACUGUA
rnacentral:rRNA from 1 species